GUGUCAGCCGCCGCGGUAAGACAGAGGGUGCGAACGUUGUUCGGAAUUACUGGGCGUAAAGCGCGUGUAGGCUGUUCGGAAAGUCGGGUGUGAAAGCCCUGGGCUCAACCUAGGAAGUGCACUCGAAACUCCCGAACUGGAGUCCCGGAGAGGAAGGUGGAAUUCUCGGUGUAGAGGUGAAAUUCGUAGAUAUCGAGAGGAACAUCGGUGGCGAAGGCGGCCUUCUGGACGGUGACUGACGCUGAGACGCGAAAGCGUGGGGAGCAAACAGGAUUAGAUACCCCUGUAGUCC
rnacentral:rRNA from 1 species